UAAUUAGUGUUGGACUUUAGGUACCUAAUUUCGAUUUUUUUGUUGUUGUUUUUUUUGGUAAGCAAAAUCCGGUAGGCGCCGAAAUCCGGAUAAGGGGGCGUUUCAACUAAAAAUCUUAUUUUGAAUUAUUGUGAUAUAUAUUAUUAGAUUUAAAAAAAUAUGGCAACAUAUAGCAAAAAUGUGUUAGAUGCCCUAACAGAAUAUCCUGCCCGGCUUUUUGUUGAUUUUUUGAGAUUUCUCGAAUCUACACAGCCCAUCACUGUUCCUUCUACAUCUGCUAUAAGGGUUACAUCUUCAGCACCUACUAUAACUAUUCCAUGUGUUCAACC